rnacentral:rRNA from 1 species
UGCGAAACUCGAAUGAACGAACGGGGAGAUUCAUCGUCAUUCCGCGGCGCGCUGGCAUCGGUCCGAUGUGUGGGGUCUCGGUCCCGCUCACGUCCGGCGCCAGCGGCGUCCGCGGACGGCGUGCACUUCUCCCUUAGUAAUACAUCGCGACCCGUUCGAUGUCGGUCUAAGUGCCUCCCGGGAGUCUCCGCACCCUUCAAACGGUGUGGAUACCGCGGAGUGUCACCGACCGGCCGUCGGACGGUAUAUUUAACGAAACGCUCACGCGCUCGCGCGCGUCCGGCCCGACGCAAGGCAACGUCGUAUAUCGCCUCCUGCCCGAGUGCGGUGGUGGUUACGGCGCGUCUGUCGUCGCAGCCGUGCUGUCUCGGACUGUGUGCGUAUCCGUCUGCGAUGAUUCAGUUUCGGGCA